AGCUGUCAUCAUCAUUCUGAAACCAGAACACAACAGAUGUUGAGGAUGACUUAUUUUGACUCCUGCCACAUAAGAAGAGGGAAUGUGAACAGGUGAAACACUGAGGAGCCAAAAACAAUAAAGUGGAUGAACAAUUAAAAAAAAAUCUUGUACUAGCCUAUUAGAUGUCAACGGGUAAGGGAAGUUCAUCAGGCUGAAGAAGGAAGUCAGAACAGCAGUUUUGGGGUACAGAUCAGGAGAAACCAUCCAAAAGGAGAAAGGAGCCAGAUAGAGGAGGUUUGAAAAAUAAAAACUCUCGGAAGACAUCAAAAAAAGGAAGUGAAGUUGAGCUGCCGGGCUGAAGAAGGGAGUCAAAACGAGAAAGAGAACACGGGAGGGAGAGAGCUCUGAGAUCUCCUGACUUCUGUUGCUCAUUGAGCUCCACUGACUCUGAUCGUGACCUUCGUGAACGCAGCAAAAUGGCAUCAGCUGUGAAACAUGAAAGAAGAGAAAGAGAAGAAUCAUGUUUCAGCAGAGCAGCCAGAAGUAUCAGGAGAGCUCUGUCCAGGAUUUGCAGAGGUAGAGAUAAUUCUCCCUCUCCCAACGUCAACACUAACAUUGGCCCUCAUCCUCAACAUAGCCCAGACUAUACGGCUCCUUGUCGUCGUUCUCGCAGGUCUCGUCAGAAACUACCAAUAAAGCCUCAUGGCUAUUUUUGUUUCAAUGAAUUACUCCCUAUUUCAGAUUCUUCCUCUGACACAAAAUCUUUAGAGAAGUGCGAUGUAUCUCUGUCUGGAACAGACUUUCUUCACAGUCCUCCCUGCCAACAGUCUCAUUCAAUUAUUGGGCCAGAACGAGAAGAAGAAGAAGAAGAAGACUUUACGUUGGGCUGCAUCGCCCUCGUCCCAACCGACAGUCUUCUUUGAUUAAUGAACCCCGGAAGAGAAAAUCCAGAGACAUGAUUUUCAGAAGACAGAAGGUAAACAAGACUGUCUGCACUGAGGGAAGCAGAACACAAGAUGCAUUUCAGCUUUCAUUUCUUCAGUCUGGAAGCAAAUCUAUAUGUGACAAUGAUGCUCCAAUGGAAAUGGAGGCACCUGUUACAGCUGUGAACUACUCAGUCACAAACACCCUGCCAGCCCAUUCUCUC